rnacentral:rRNA from 1 species
CAAUAGCGUAUAUUUAAGUUGUUGCAGUUAAAAAGCUCGUAGUUGGAUUUCGGGUGGGACGCAGCGGUCUCGCAUUGCGUUUGUACUGCUGCAGCCCUCCUUCUUGCCGGGGGCGGCCUCUCGGACUGCACUGUCUGGGGGUCAGAAUCGGCGAUGUUACUUUGAGUAAAUUAGAGUGUUCAAAGCAAGCUUACGCUCUGAAUAUAAUAGCAUGGGAUAACACGACAGGACUCUGGCCUAUCGUGUUGGUCUAUAGGACCAGAGUAAUGAUUAAGAGGGACAGUCGGGGGCAUUCGUAUUCCGUUGUCAGAGGUGAAAUUCUUGGAUUUACGGAAGACGAACAUCUGCGAAAGCAUUUGCCAAGGAUGUUUUCAUUG